AACGAACGCUGGCGGCAUGCCUAACACAUGCAAGUCGAACGAGACCUUCGGGUCUAGUGGCGCACGGGUGCGUAACGCGUGGGAACCUGCCCUUAGGUUCGGAAUAACUCCCCGAAAGGGGUGCUAAUACCGGAUAAUGUCUUCGGACCAAAGAUUUAUCGCCUUUGGAUGGGCCCGCGUUGGAUUAGCUAGUUGGUAGGGUAAAAGCCUACCAAGGGGACGAUCCAUAAGUGGUCUGAGAGGAUGAUCAGCCACACUGGGACCGAGACACGGCCCAGACUCCUACGGGAGGCAGCAGUGGGGAAUAUUGGACAAUGGGCGAAAGCCUGAUCCAGCAAUGCCGCGUGAGUGAUGAAGGCCUUAGGGUUGUAAAGCUCUUUUACCCGGGAUGAUAAUGACAGUACCGGGAGAAUAAGCUCCGGCUAACUCCGUG
rnacentral:rRNA from 1 species